rnacentral:rRNA from 1 species
UUGACCUCAAAUCGGGUGAGACUACCCGCUGAACUUAAGCAUAUCAAUAAGCGGAGGAAAAGAAACUAACAAGGAUUCCCCUAGUAACUGCGAGUGAAGCGGGAAAAGCUCAAAUUUAAAAUCUGGUGGCCUUUGGUCAUCCGAGUUGUAAUUUAGAGAAGCGUCUUCCGCGCUGGACCGUGCACAAGUCUCCUGGAAUGGAGCGUCAUAGAGGGUGAGAAUCCCGUCUUUGGCACGGAUCCCGGUGCUUCUGUGAUGCGCUCUCGAAGAGUCGAGUUGUUUGGGAAUGCAGCUCAAAAUGGGUGGUGAACUCCAUCUAAAGCUAAAUAUUGGCGAGAGACCGAUAGCGAACAAGUACCGUGAGGGAAAGAUGAAAAGCACUUUGGAAAGAGAGUGAAACAGUACGUGAAAUUGUUGAAAGGGAAACGCUUGAAGUCAGUCGCGUCGUCCGAGACUCAGCCUCGCCUCGGCUUGGUGUACUUCUCGACCGACGGGUCAGCAUCAAUUUCACCCCUUGGAUAAUGGCGAGGGAAAUGUGGCACCUUUGCGGGUGCGUUAUAGUCCCUC